AUAUAUAUACGUGGCAGAAUCCACUUGCAUAGAAAUUUCAUUUUUGUCCUCUCUCUCUGUUCAACUUGUUUAUCCUAACCUAGUGCUAUCCCUAUUAAGUUGGAAACGUCUCGAUCGAAGAUGUAUUUUCAACGAACGAGUUCUAUGCUCGCCGCCGAGUUCAACGAGUAUAAGAACGAGCGUGCUUGUGUAAUAUACGCGUUAAACAUCACAUAGAACACCCACAUGACUCGAUGCGACACGUGUGUAUCGCGAAGGAAAUAAUACACGGCAUGUGCGGUCGUUCCGGUCAUUUUUUUUUUCUUCUUUUUCUUUUCUUUUUUUUUUUAUUUAACAUUGCAUUCAACGAGUGCAUUUCUAAACGAUUACUUUUCCUUCUUCCGUCUUCCUUGUCCUUUCCUUCUUCUUUUUUUUCGGGGAGGGGGGGAAUUUCUCUCUUCUUUCUCUUUACUUUGCUCGAUUGAUCCGCAAAAACUCUUGAUUGUUUGUCGCGUUUGUAGUUCGGCGAGAGAGCAAGGCAUAUAUUUACUCUGUAAUAAAACGUGCUUCCUCCGUAAGCGGGUACGAGAAAAAAGAAAAAAAAAGUCUGGCAUCAAAUAUUUUGUCCUACGUCGCGCGUAACGAACUAUACGUAAAUAUACGAUCAAGCUUAUUCUCGAAAUACGUGUGCAUCGCGUCGUUUGAUGGAGAGAGAGAGAGAUAGAGAGAUAGAGAGAGAGAGAGAGUUAUUACGCGAAUUCGUGUCCGCCGGCAAAAAAACGAUGAAACGAGCGAAACAAAAAACGGGGUUAUAUAGAUAACGAUCGAUCGAAAGGAGCGUAUAUAUAUAUAACGUUCAGCGAGCAGAGAGAGAAGAGUGACAGAGAGAAAGGAAGAAGGGCAAAGUAGGCGUGUAGCGCAUUCUUAAACGAAAACUACAUAUUCUCACGUUGUCGGCAGGCGUAUAAAAUGAUGCAUGAGCGAGUGGGGAUCAUAGGAGGGAAAUGUUCGGGACGUAUCGAUCCAACUUAAUUACGUUUAACUCCUCGUUUAUCGCCGUAAACGUUUAUCGAAAAGAAAG